GGUUGAAUGGUGUAACGGUAGCACAUAAGAUUUUGAUCUGAAAUUUGAAAGAAUGGAGAGAAUUUUUCUUGUGACCUGGGUUCGACUCCCAGUUCGACCU